rnacentral:rRNA from 1 species
UACGUAGGGGGCUAGCGUUGUCCGGAAUCAUUGGGCGUAAAGAGCGUGUAGGCGGCCCGGUAAGUCCGCUGUAAAAGUCAAAGGCUCAACCUCUGAAUGUCAGUGGAUACUGCCGGGCUAGAGUCCGGAAGAGGCGAGUGGAAUUCCUGGUGUAGCGGUGAAAUGCGCAGAUAUCAGGAAGAACACCCGUGGCGAAGGCGGCUCUCUGGGACGGUACUGACGCUGAGACGCGAAAGCGUGGGGAGCGAACAGG